UUUCUACAGAAAAUAUUUAUUUGCAAGAAAUGAAAAGCAUAACAUACUUAGCUACAUACAUAUUUAGGCUACAAAAGCAGGUAGUCUGUUCUCUUGUAGAAUCAAGCAGACAAUUUUAAAAAGGAAAAAACAGCAAUUUCUUUCCACCCAAUGGACACGUUUGCAGUGUGAACAAUCAAGUGGGACUGUAUCCAGAUGACAGCGCUUGUACAAAAAUAGAGAGGCCAUUGAACACACAGACACGGAGUUAAACAGACUUACGGCAAAAGAACAGAAAUAUCUGCAGUCAGAAGAGACUCCAAUGCAGUUUACCAAGUUGUUUAGGGGUGUGUGCUUUUGCUGUCCUUUUCAUCUUAGAUAGUUUUAAGUGUUUGCAUAAACCCAUACUGUAUCCACAAACCCAUACUGUAUCCACAUGAACAGAGGGAAAGGGAAAGAUCAGCUGAAAUGCCUCAGGGGUGUCACACACAGAGUGACUCAGAGUCACACGGUAUUGUUUUCAUGGCCCAAGGCAAUGGCUUUGGCCCUCGAUAUGUAUUUCUCUUCAAGAGGGUAACACCAGGUAAUUCACCCUUGGAAGGCUCAGGGAAUCUCAGGAUAACUGAUGUACUGGUAUCGAAGCAUGGCCCUCUGAAAGGAAACUGCUUUUCCUCCCUGGCAUUUCACUGCACCCCCGGGGUGCUUAGGGCAGCAGAGCUCCGUGGGAAGGGGGCGAUCCUUAGGUCCUCUCUCAGAAGAUGAGCUCAACAAAUUGUGUUCCUUGAGCUGUCAGCUCCCAAGGGCCAAUUUUUAAGGCUAGCUUACACCAUUUAAAAUUAAAUAAAGCAUUCAAAGACAUAAUUCUGCAGAACAAAAAUGACAUCCAAAGAUACAAUAAAGCCUAAAGUAAUCAUUUUUUUUGUACCAAGCCAGAGCUGUCCUACAGAAAGGCCAGACAGUCUAUGCCUACAAAAUGACACAGUGCAACAACUUUCAGACAAAAAUUGCUAACAGGACAGACUUCAGACAGCAAUUCACACCAGUUUUAUAAGUGCUUGGUGAUGUGGGAAUGUGAACAGGUUUCAGAGAGAAAUGCCUGGACUUUCUGUUGAACCAAGUGGAAUGUUACCUGUGUGUUCGGGUAGAUGCCUUAGCAAUGCUUACUACAGAAAA